CCGAGUUCUGACAAAACUCCCCAAACCCACUGUGAACCUAUACCUUUACCGUUGCUUCGGCGGGUUGACGCCCCGGAAGGCCCCUGAAAAAGGCCCGCCGGAACCAGGCGCCCGCCCGCCGGGGGACCCCACCAAAACUCUUUGUAUUUUUCUUACCUAGCAUGUCUGAGUGUCAUAAAAAAAAAUGAAUCA
rnacentral:misc_RNA from 1 species